rnacentral:tRNA from 1 species
GGUGGCUCAGUGGUAGAGUGCUUGCCUUGCAUGCAUGAGGCCCUGGGUUUGAUUUCUAAGCACCA